rnacentral:pre_miRNA from 1 species
UUGAAGAAUUUGAAGACUUCAACUGAUAUACUUGGAUAUUUUGAAGACUUCAACUUACAUAUUUGGAGAUUUUGAAAACUUCAUCU